GCGCGGGUGGCGGAAUGGUAGACGCGCUAGUUUGAGGUGCUAGUGGGUUAAUCCCCGUAGGGGUUCAAGUCCCCUCUCGCGCACCA
rnacentral:tRNA from 1 species